UACAGAGGGUGCGAGCGUUGUUCGGAAUUAUUGGGCGUAAAGGGCGCGUAGGCGGCGCCACAAGUCACCUGUGAAAACUCUGGGCUCAACCCAGAGCCUGCAGGCGAAACUGUGGUGCUGGAGUAUGGGAGAGGUGCGUGGAAUUCCCGGUGUAGCGGUGAAAUGCGUAGAUAUCAGGAGGAACACCUGCGGUGUAGACGGCUUUCUGGACCAUUGCUGACGCUGAGACACGAAAGCGUGGGUAGCAAACAGG
rnacentral:rRNA from 1 species